rnacentral:rRNA from 1 species
AGCGAACGCUGGCGGCAUGCUUAACACAUGCAAGUCGCACGGUUGGGGGCAACCCUGGCAGUGGCGGACGGGUGAGUAACGCGUAGGAAUCUAUCCUUGGGUGGGGGACAACCGUGGGAAACUACGGCUAAUACCGCAUGAUCCCUGAGGGGGCAAAGGCGAGAGUCGCCUGAGGAGGAGCCUGCGUCUGAUUAGCUUGUUGGUGGGGUAAAGGCCUACCCAAGGCGACGAUCAGUAGCUGGUCUGAGAGGAUGAUCAGCCACAUUGGGACUGAGACACGGCCCAAACUCCUACGGGAGGCAGCAGUGGGGAAUAUUGGACAAUGGGCGCAAGCCUGAUCCAGCAAUGCCGCGUGGGUGAAGAAGGUCUUCGGAUUGUAAAGCCCUUUUGGCGGGGACGAUGAUGACGGUACCCGCAGAAUAAGCCCCGGCUAACUUCGUG